rnacentral:ncRNA from 1 species
AAAAGGGAAGCCGAAAACUUAAUAGAGUAGGCG